GGGGAAUUUUGGACAAUGGGGGCAACCCUGAUCCAGCCAUGCCGCGUGAGUGAAGAAGGCCUUCGGGUUGUAAAGCUCUUUCGGCGGGGAAGAAAUGGCAACGGCUAAUAUCCGUUGUUGAUGACGGUACCCGCAUAAGAAGCACCGGCUAACUACGUGCCAGCAGCCGCGGUAAUACGUAGGGUGCGAGCGUUAAUCGGAAUUACUGGGCGUAAAGCGUGCGCAGGCGGUUUUGUAAGACAGAGGUGAAAUCCCCGGGCUCAACCUGGGAACUGCCUUUGUGACUGCAAAGCUGGAGUGCGGCAGAGGGGGGUGGAAUUCCACGUGUAGCAGUGAAAUGCGUAGAGAUGUGGAGGAACACCAAUGUCGAAGGCAGCCCCCUGGGUCGAUACUGACGCUCAUGCACGAAAGCGUGGGGAGCAAACA
rnacentral:rRNA from 1 species